CCUACGGGGGGCAGCAGUGAGGAAUAUUGGUCAAUGGCCGGAAGGCUGAACCAGCCAUGCCGCGUGAAGGUCAGUGCCCUAUGGGCGUUAAACUUCUUUUGUGCGGGAGCAAUAAUGGUCACGUGUGGCCAGACGAGAGUACCGUACGAAUAAGCAUCGGCUAACUCCGUGCCAGCAGCCGCGGUAAUACGGGGGAUGCAAGCGUUAUCCGGAUUUAAUGGGGUUAAAGGGUGCGUAGGCUGUGGGGUAAGUCAGCGGGGAAAUGCCCCCGCUCAACGGGGUGAAGUGCCAUUGAUACUGCCUUGCUGGAAUGCGGAUGCCGUGGGAGGAAUGUGUGGUGUAGCGGUGAAAUGCAUAGAUAUCACACAGAACACCGAUUGCGAAGGCAUCUCACGAAUCCGCGAUUGACGCUGAUGCACGAAAGCGUGGGUAUCAAACAGGAUUAGAUACCCGGGUAGUC
rnacentral:rRNA from 1 species